rnacentral:rRNA from 1 species
GGCCGCAAGGCCGUCGCUGAGAUAGAACCCUUGCCUUUAUCGAGUACCUUUCCGUUUCCUCGGCGGGUCCGCCCGCCAACGGGGACACAACCAAAACCUUUUUGCAACCUGACCACAAGUCUGAAUCAAAAAACCAACUAAAUCAAAACUUUCAACAACGGAUCUCUUGGUUCUGGCAUCGAUGAAGAACGCAGCGAAAUGCGAUAAGUAGUGUGAAUUGCAGAAUUCAGUGAAUCAUCGAAUCUUUGAACGCACAUUGCGCCCUUUGGUAUUCCUUAGGGCAUGCCUGUUCGAGCGUCAUUUAACCCCUCAAGCGCAGCUUGGUGAUGGGCGCCUGUCCGCCGCUUUGGCGGACUCGCCUCAAAGACAUUGGCGGCCGUUACGUUGGCUUCGAGCGCAGCAGAAACGCGAUACUCGAGGUUCCGGCGGAGCGCGUCCCCCAGGAAGCCCCCCUUUCUCAGUUUGACCUCGGAUCAGGUAGGGAUACCCGCUGAACUUAAGCAUAUCAAUAAGCGGAGGAAAAGAAACCAACAGGGAUUGCCCUAGUAACGGCGAGUGAAGCGGCAACAGCUCAAAUUUGAAAUCUGGCCCUCUCAGGGUCCGAGUUGUAAUUUGUAGAGGGUGUCUUUGGCGCGGGCUGUGGUCUAAGUUCCUUGGAACAGGACGUCGCAGAGGGUGAGAAUCCCGUAUGUGGCCGCCAGCCUUCGCCGUGUAAAGCCCCUUCGACGAGUCGAGUUGUUUGGGAAUGCAGCUCUAAAUGGGAGGUAAAUUUCUUCUAAAGCUAAAUAUUGGCCAGAGACCGAUAGCGCACAAGUAGAGUGAUCGAAAGAUGAAAAGCACUUUGGAAAGAGAGUCAAAAAGCACGUGAAAUUGUUGAAAGGGAAGCGCUUGCAGCCAGACUUGCCCGCAGUUGCUCACCCGGGCUCUCGCCCGGGGCACUCCUCUGCGGGCAGGCCAGCAUCAGUCGGGGCGGUCGGACAAAUGCCUGCUAAAUGUACCUCUCCUCGGGGAGGACUUAUAGGGUAGGCGGCAUACGGCCAGCCC